rnacentral:rRNA from 1 species
AGCGAACGUUGGCGGCGCGCUUAACACAUGCAAGUCGAACGCGAAAGAUCUUCGGAUCGAGUAGAGUGGCGCACGGGUGAGUAACACGUGAUUAACCUACCUUUUGGCCCGGGAUAACAUGCCGAAAGGCGUGCUAAUACUGGAUUAGACCACGGUCCCUGCGGGGGACUGCGAGAAAAGCAGGGGAGCGAAAGCGCCUUGCACCAGAAGAUGGGGGUCGCGGCCUAUCAGCUAGUUGGCGGGGGUAACAGCCCACCAAGGCGAUGACGGGUAGCCGGACUGAGAGGUCGAUCGGCCACAAGGGGACUGAGACACGGCCCCUACUCCUACGGGAGGCAG